rnacentral:rRNA from 1 species
AUUGAACGCUGGCGGCAGGCCUAACACAUGCAAGUCGAACGAGUGGCGGACGGGUGAGUAAUGUCUGGGAAACUGCCCGAAGGAGGGGGAUAACUACUGGAAAAGGUAGCUAAUACCGCAAACCAUCGGAUGUGCCCAGAUGGGAUUAGCUAGGAGGUGGGGUAACGGCUCACCUAGGCGACGUGCCCUAGCUGGUCUGAGAGGAUGACCAGCCACACUGGAACUGAUACACGGUCCAGACUCCUACGGGAGGCAGCAGUGGGGAAUAUUGCACAUGGGGCGCAAGCCUGAUGCAGCCAUGCCGCGUGUAUGAAGAAGGCCUUCGGGUUGUAAAGUACUUUCAGCGAGGAGGCGUUACUCGCAGAAGAAGCACCGGCGAACUCCGUGCCAGCCGCCGCGGUAAUAC